rnacentral:rRNA from 1 species
AAUCAACGCUGGCGGCGUGCCUAACACAUGCAAGUCGAACGAGAAAGUGGAGCAAUCCAUGAGUAAAGUGGCGUACGGGUGAGUAACACGUGACUAACCUACCCUUGAGUGGGGAAUAACUUCGGGAAACCGAGGCUAAUACCGCAUAACACCUUCGGGUCAAAGGAGCAAUUCGCUUAAGGAGGGGGUCGCGGCUGAUUAGCUAGUUGGUAGGGUAAUGGCCUACCAAGGCGAUGAUCAGUAUCCGGCCUGAGAGGGCGCACGGACACACUGGAACUGAAACACGGUCCAGACUCCUACGGGUGGCUG